AACGAACGCUGGCGGCAGGCCUAACACAUGCAAGUCGAACGCCCUAGCAAUAGGGAGUGGCAGACGGGUGAGUAACACGUGGGAACGUGCCCUUCGGUUCGGAAUAACUCAGGGAAACUUGAGCUAAUACCGGAUACGUGUGAGAGCAGAAAGAUUUAUCGCCGAAGGGUCGGCCCGCGUCCGAUUAGCUAGUUGGUGAGGUAAUGGCUCACCAAGGCGACGAUCGGUAGCUGGUCUGAGAGGAUGACCAGCCACACUGGGACUGAGACACGGCCCAAACUCCUACGGGAGGCAGCAGUGGGGAAUAUUGGACAAUGGGCGCAAGCCUGAUCCAGCCAUGCCGCGUGAGUGAUGAAGGCCUUAGGGUUGUAAAGCUCUUUCACCGAUGAAGAUAAUGACGGUAGUCGGAGAAGAAGCCCCGGCUAACUUCGUGCCAGCCGCCGCGGUAA
rnacentral:rRNA from 1 species